UUGUGUGCUGUCCCGGUUGCCAGGAGAUGAUGUUCCUACUGCUCUCGGCCUCUGGAGCCAGCUCUGGUUACUGCUGACAGGCCCCACCGGAGAGACUGCCUGAAGAGUCAGGCAGUUUCUUAGGUUCCCCUUCCGAGAGGCCUUGGCAGCGGACCCCGAAGAGCAGAGUGCCCAGAUGUGCUGAUGGCGUAGAAGUGCUUGCUGUGGGGAAGACCUGGCCGUCAGCACCAGGAGGCUGCCGGUGGACUGAGCAAGGAGGCAGCCGAGGAUCAGGGCCUGGGUGAUGUGCCACUCUCUGGACAAAGGCCACGGGGACAGAGGAAGAGUCAGAAGACGCUGCUGGGAAACCUGUGGCCAGGUGCGCUGGAGAAACAGUGAGUGCCGGGCUGGGAAGAGAGCCAGGUCGAAGAGGCGGUGGCCUCCUGCCACUUCCUUCCCUGGAUGACACGUGAGGAAGCGUACCACGUGGGCUCCGAGGGCCAGGUGGCUGGAGACCAGUCCUGCUCGGGACAAUGACCUGGAAUGGCACAGAUGGCACCGUGUGCAGCAUUUCACCUCAGCCUGUGCUGUGUGCAAUCCUUCACGGCUGUGCUGAGGAAGGUCCUCGGGGCAGACAUAAUGAUUUCACAAGGACUCAAGCCCAAGUUGGCCUGGCUUCAGCGUGCAGACUUUAGGAGAGUGAAAGAAAAAAAGGCAGGACAGGAAAUGGCAUUUAAUACAAGUGGCCCCACUUACCUUAUUUAUAGGCUUAGAAAACGGGCUGCCAGGGUUGGUGAGAUGACUGGGGGGGGGCACUUGCCACCAAGCAUGGCAACCUGAAGUUGAUCCCCAGGACCCACAUGGUGCAAGGAGAGAACUGACUCCCACAGGUUGUCUUCUGACCUCGACACACAUGGUAAA